rnacentral:rRNA from 1 species
AUUGAACGCUGGCGGCAGGCCUAACAAAUGCAAGUCGAACGAGUGGCGGACGGGUGAGUAAUGUCUGGGAAACUGCCCGAUGGAGGGGGAUAACUACUGGAAACGGUAGCUAAUACCGCAUACCAUCGGAUGUGCCCAGAUGGGAGUAGCUGGUGGGUGGGGUAACGGCUCACCUAGGCGACGAUGCCGAGCUGGUUUGAGAGGAUGACCGGCCACACUGGAACGGGGAAACGGUCCAGAUUCCUACGGGAGGCAGCAGUGGGGAAUAUUUGACAAGGGGCGCAAGCCUGAUGCAGCAAUGCCGCGUGUAUGAAGAAGGCCUUCGGGUUGUAAAGUACUUUCAGCGAGGAGGCGUUACUCGCAGAAGAAGCACCGGCUAACUCCGUGCCAGCAGCCGCGGUAAUUC